rnacentral:lncRNA from 12 species
UUGAUGGUCAUCAGAACUAUGAAGUUACAAGAUAGAUCAUUCAAAUAUGAGGCUUUAUAUCAGCAGACUUUUUUUUUUUUUUUUUUUUUUUUAGAAUUUAUUUUGGAAAAAAAAAAGAAUUUAUUUUGGGAAAAGUGAAUUGUUGGAUUUUUCACCUAUAUCCAGGGGGUUUAUAUGUUUUGCUUACCAGUGUAGUUGCUUUCAUAACACGUUUCCUCUGGUUUCCACAGUGUUUAGCCACGGGACUUACAGCUGACAAAGCAGAAGUGGAUGAGAAGUGAGACAGUGAGAAGCAAUGACCAGCUGUUUAAUAUUAUGAUACCACAAAAAUGAAUAAAUCUGUCUUCCUGUGGGAGACAGAAGUACCUCACUCUACAGAGCACUGUGUGCAGAGAGAUGUUCUGAGCCUGUCCCCGCUAAGGAAAUGCUGCACCCUGUUGGCCUUGACCAUCCCACAGAUGGUGCUUGUGUUUCAUUUAACCAAAGGGCAGCAAUCACGCUUUUCCUCCAGUCUGAACAAAAAGGGACAAGACUGA